rnacentral:rRNA from 1 species
AGUGAACGCUGGCGGUAGGCCUAACACAUGCAAGUCGAACGGCAGCACAGUAAGAGCUUGCUCUUACGGGUGGCGAGUGGCGGACGGGUGAGGAAUACAUCGGAAUCUACUUUUUCGUGGGGGAUAACGUAGGGAAACUUACGCUAAUACCGCAUACGACCUACGGGUGAAAGCAGGGGAUCUUCGGACCUUGCGCGAUUGAAUGAGCCGAUGUCGGAUUAGCUAGUUGGCGGGGUAAAGGCCCACCAAGGCGACGAUCCGUAGCUGGUCUGAGAGGAUGAUCAGCCAAACUGGAACUGAGACACGGUCCAGACUCCUACGGGAGGCAGCAGUGGGGAAUAUUGGACAAUGGGCGCAAGCCUGAUCCAGCCAUACCGCGUGGGUGAAGAAGGCCUUCGGGUUGUAAAGCCCUUUUGUUGGGAAAGAAAAGCAGCAGGUUAAUACCCCGCUGUUCCGACGGUACCCAAAGAAUAAGCACCGGCUAACUUCGUG